UGAAGAGCAGUGGAUAAUGAAGAGGGAUGUAAGAGAGGAGGAGGAGGAGGAGGAGGUGGAGGACAUUCUGCUGUAUGAGAGCAGGACAAAGCAUCAGGAAAGGACAAAGUGCAGUUAGUGUCUUGACUCUGAGCCAAUUAGUGAAGAAGGAUGAUGCAGAGGAGAUAAUGCCAGCCAGCAUUGUGAUCAAAGAGGGGAGACAAACAGUGUCUUGACGGUGAGACAGCAUUUCUUCUUGGGCCAUUUUGGAUGUGGAUGCUGAACUUGUGCUGGUCGCACAAGUGCACACACACACACACACACACACACACACACACACAC